rnacentral:rRNA from 1 species
UACGAAGGGGACUAGCGUUGUUCGGAAUUACUGGGCGUAAAGCGCACGUAGGCGGAUUUGUAAGUCAGGGGUGAAAUCCCGGGGCUCAACCUCGGAACUGCCUUUGAUACUGCAAAUCUCGAGUCCGAUAGAGGUGGGUGGAAUUCCGAGUGUAGAGGUGAAAUUCGUAGAUAUUCGGAGGAACACCAGUGGCGAAGGCGGCUCACUGGUCCGGUACUGACGCUGAGGUGCGAAAGCGUGGGGAGACAAGCAG